CCUACGGGUGGCAGCAGUGGGGAAUAUUGCACAAUGGGGGAAACCCUGAUGCAGCGACGCCGCGUGAGUGAAGAAGGAAUUCGUUAUGUAAAGCACUAUCAGCAGGGAAGAAACAGACGGUACCUGUGUAAGGAGCCCCGGCCAACUACGUGCCAGCAGCCGCGGGAAUACGGCGGGGGCGAGCGUUAUCCGGAUUUACUGGGUGUAACGGGAGCGGAGGCGGCGAAGCAAGUCCGAAGUGAAGGCCCGCGGCUUAACCGCGGAACUGCGUUGGAAAAUGGUUCGCUGGAGUAAGGUAGAGGUAGGCGGAAUGCCUGGUGUAGCGGUGAAAUGCGUAGAGAUUAGGAGGAACACCAGUGGCGAAGGCGGCUUACUGGACGAUAACUGACGUUGAGGCUCGAAAGCGUGGGGAGCAAACAGGAUUAGAUACCCUUGUAGUC
rnacentral:rRNA from 1 species